rnacentral:lncRNA from 1 species
GGAAACAAACAUAGAAAAAGCAACUUUUGACUAUUCUUUCACAUAAAAAUGGUGUGAUACUUUAACACAAUGCCAUACGCUAACCUCAUAAAAAGGGAAAACAAAAAACAUUUCUAAGUGUUGUACUUUCAGUUCCCAACAAUUUCUUAAGAACAAAUGUGGACCAAUACACAGAUUGUACCACCCUCUUGCACGAAAAAGAUGAUUAUAACUGGUCUUCAGUUUUCGGCCGGACUCAGAGAGGAGAGAGUUGAGAUCCGAUGGGGAAGUAGCUCAUUGGUAUUGGAGGAGGCUUGGACUUGCUCCUGGAGAAGUUCUUCUUCGAUUUGCCCUCACCUUUGACACGGCCGUGUUUGCUUAUCGAACAGCUCUUGUUCGAGUGAUCCUCUCCUUCCAAGCUGAUCACUCUACUAUUUGAAUGAUCAGAGAAGCAACUGAAGAGGCUCGAGAAGAGACUCAUGAUUGAUGAGGAUGAAAAAUGGCGAUGUUAUUCUACGAGCAGAAUAGGCUGGGAAAUCUGUACUUUGGCCGGUUCUCUUUCAGAACGGCUGAAGCCGUUGUAAUAGCUAGCUUUUCUGAGUUGUUGUGAGAAAUUCACGAUUGUUUCACUAUACAUAGAGACAUAUCGAUAAAGCUCUGAAGAAACGUGGCCUUAGCUUCCAAGAAAUAGGUGAUUAUUCAUUCACGUGUCACUGUCGCUACGCGGUCUUCCUCCUUUUUAGGUUCUUGGAACCAUCUGAGGUUCUCAUUAUUUGGCCUCAGCGUUAUCUCAUACCAAGCUCAAAGUCAUCUUUGACAUAGCCAAGAAUUUUUCUAAGCUCAAAAGAAAUAUUAGAACGCGUCCAACCAACCGCUGAUUGCUUACAAAAAUAUUAUCCGCUGCGAUUCACAUGACUUCAUCCUCCGCGAUCUCUCCACCAGUGGCUCGUCGCAGUUGGUACGGUCGCCAUCGCGUCUCCAUCACUUCUCUCCUCUCUCACCAACCAUCCUCUUCUUCUUCUUCUACGGCGUGCUUCUGUUGCUGCAUCGUCAUCUUAUUGGCUUGGUGAUGUUGUCAUUCGAGAAUAAUAUUUUGGGUAUGAAACUGAGAACGUUUUUAAAACCUGCUAUUUCGGCCAAUUGUUGGACACGUAAGGAAGUUUCGUUUGUUUUCUUAUAGUUUUUUCGCAACUGGCUCAUAAUUGUUUUUCUAAUAACAUAUCUUCCUAAAAUUAAGCAACUUGAUCUCUUUGGCCUUUCUCAAAAAGUCAAAUAUUUUGAACUUAAAAUUCUUUCCUCAAUUUGAGGAUAAUUUCUUUAAUUUAAGGAACAAUUUGCUUUCCUUGAUUUGAGGAAUCAAUUUUUCCCUCAUCAUAUAACUAUGUAUCUAUUUAAACUUAUUUUGUACAUCAAUAGAUAUGAAGGGAAAAUAAAAAAAUUCAAAGUUUCCUUGCGUUCUUUAUUGUAUCAAAGCCCUCUGCGUAAGAGCAUUACUUGUAUCUUACAUUUUCUUGUUCAUGGCUCCAUCCACAAAUUUUGGAGAUUCUAACGAUGUCAAUACCUCACUUCAGUCGCCACCUAUUGUGAUUUCGAACAUUUCCAGCCUCAUUGCAAUAAAAUUGAAUGUCUCCAACUAUCUCCUUUGAAAAUCCUUGUUCACACCUAUUUUGUGUGGUCAUUAUUGAUGAAUCAUGUUGAUGGCUCUAUUUCUCCAUGUUCACUUGACGAUCCCACAUAUCCAAUAUGGUUUGAAAAAGAUUAACUACUGUUAUCCUGGAUCAGUGCCACAUUAAGCAACUCCACUCUUUCGUAUAUCGUUGGACUUACUUUUGCCAAGCAAGCCUGGGAUUUGCUCAAUAAUAUAUAUGCCUCUACAGCACCUGCCCAUGUGAUAUCCCUCAAAUAGCGGCUUACUCGACUCAAGAAAGGAACUCAAUCUAUAGGGCUACGUUUGGUCGUCGGGAUAAUAAUCGGGAUAGGAUAGGAUAAAGUAGGAUAUUAAAUCCUCUGGAUAAUAAAGGCGGACAUAUCUAAUCUUAUCAAGUGUUUGGCGCACUUCAGGAUAAGAUUAAAAAAUAAAUAUGAUAUUCAAUUAAAUUAUAAAAUUAAAAAAUAGAAAAUUCAAUUAAUUAAAUGCCAUGGAAAAGCCCUAGAUCUAGGAAUUAUGGCCACCAUUGAAAACGGCGAGAUGCGAAGAUGGGAGAAGAAGUGGAAGAAGAGGGCUGACAAUGAAUCGGAGAGGCGGAGGCAUCCAUUUGACGUAGAUGCUUAUGAUAUCUUCUCUUUUUGUUAAGUUCUUUCUUUCCUUAAAAAAAAAAAAUUCUUAUCCAAUCCGGGCUUAUCCCACCCCCUCCCCCGGAUUUUUUAUCCGACGUUUUAUCCGGAUGUAUCCGGAUUUGUCCGAUACGGUGGACAUUCCCAAACAUUGGAUAUGAUAACAAAUUAUCCUAUCCAGACUCAAAUCCGGACUACCAAACGCAGCCUAGCUAAUUAUCUCCAGCAAUUUAAGGUCAUUUCUGAUCAGCUAGCAGCCUAUGGCUCUCCCUUAAACAAGAAUGAUCUACUUAUUCACAUCCUUCAUGGGCUACCACUAUCAUAUUGACAAUUCUAUUCCUCGGUUUGUAUUUGCGCCAAGACAUCGACCCUAUCUAUUGAGGAACUUCAUACACUGUUAAUCUGUGAAGAUCUCUCUUUGACUGAAGAUACACUGCUUGUGGUUUCAUCUUAGUCUACUGCAUUGGUGACUUCUAAACCUUCCAAGCCCAACAACUCUUGUUGGUUCUCUCAAGGCCGCUGCUAUGUACCAUAUUGUGGUACAUAUGUUCCAAGCUAGCUGUCAUCCACCUCCUUUGGAUCAGUGCAAUAAAAACCAUCUCCCCAAGUUCAACAAAAAUCUCAAAAGGUGUUCGUCGACAAUGUCGAGUUUGCUAUCGUAUGGGUGAUACUUCCAUCAAUUGUUGUCAUUGAAUGGACUCUAUCAAGAUCGCCAUCGACCAAACAAACUUGCAACAAUGGUAGCCAUUGCCUCCACCCUACCCAACACUUGGUACAUCAACACUAGAGCCACUCAUCAUCUCACCCCCAAAAAUGUCCAAGUUUCAACCACUUAUGAUGUUAAUGACACUGUUGAGAUAGAUAAUGGCAACGGUGUGCCCAUUGCACAUUUUGGUUCCUCCACCAUCUUGUUCUCUUCUUCACCUCAAAUUAUUAUUUACUUACCAUUUUUCCAAAAAUAUAAAUAUAAAUUGUCUCUUUUAACUUCGAUGUCUUUGGUUUUUAUAUUAAGGACAACGAUUUUGGGAUGAUACUAUAUUAAGAGCCAAUUGGGAACAACUUGUACCCACUUUGUACUCCAUUAUAAUCCAUCACUCUAAAGGCUCAUUACAGUUCAUCCAUCACCACAAACCAAUGGUAUCUUUGUCACAAUCACCUGUCUCGUGAUAUUCAAUGGGCCAUUUUCUUCAUCAUUUUGGUUUCCAAUAAAUUGGGCUCUCGCUUUGCUUUUUAUGUCCGCAGGUGAAGUCCUAUAAAAUUAUUACAUUAUGAUGCAUUGGACCCUACUCCCACAUUAUCUUAAUCUAAUUUUUCCCAUUACGUUCUCUUUGUCAAUGAUUUUUCCAAAAAUUCUUGGUUAUUCCUAUAAGAUUAAAAUAUGACUUUUAUGACAUCUUUGUAAGUUUUAAAAAGCAAGUUGAAAAUCUUUUGCCGCACACUAUCACCACAUUUCGCUCAAACAGUGGUGGCAACUUCACAAAUAAUACCUUUAACAAUUUCUUCAAUCAAAUGGCAUUAUACAUGAAUAUUCUUGCCCCACGCACCAAAACAAAAUGGUGUUGUGGAGCAUAAGUAUCGCCAUAUCAUUGAAAUUGGCUUAGCUAUGAUAGUCUAUGCUAAUAUGCCUUCUAAAUUUCGGUUAGAAGCCUUCACCACAACCAUUUACUUGAUAAAUCGCAUACCCUUACUUCAACAUCACACUUUCUUCCCAUAUCGAGUUUUAUUUCACAUCCCUUCUAAUUAUUCACACUUGCAAACUUUGGCUUUCUUCUCAUGGCUCCAAUCUUACAAUGCUAACAAAUUACAACUUAGAUCAACCCCCUAUUAUUUUAUAGGCUAUAGCUCCAGUCACAUAGGGUAUCAUUGUAUGGAUCUCUCAUCUAGUCGAGUACAUAUUUCUCAUCAUGUCAUCUUUGAUGAAACUAAAUUUCCUCACUCCCAGUCAUUCCCCACAUCUUCCAACUCAUAGUCUCGAUUUCUUUGGAGUCAUUCAAACUAAGCAUGUUCAUUAUGGUCCUUCCCUUAUUUCACAUGUCAUUCUCACAUCCAACAAUACCUCCACGGUGCCUUCUUCAUCAACUACCAAACCUACUUUUCAAACCUCUGGCCAACCCCUUCCUCCACUUAUUGACAAUCAACCUAUCCCUCCUUCCAUUCACUCAGUGCAAACAAGGUCUAAACUUGGUAUUACCAAACAAAAGGUAUUUUCCCACACCCUUCACCCAAUUCUGUUUAUACUUGCUACCAACCAUAUCUCAAAACCAACAUAUUACUCUCCAGUGAUAAAGGACCCUCGAUGGCAUCAUGCCAUGGAUCAAGAAUUUACCUCUCUUCGACAACAAAAAACAUGGUGUUUGGUCCCUUAUGAUCCUACUAUGAACGUAAUGGGUUGUAAAUUGGUAUUUUGAGUUAAACGAAAUCCGAGUGGCUCUAUUAGUCACUACAAAACUCGCCUUGUUGCUAAGGGCUUUCAUCAAUAGUAGGGUGUUGACUUAAUUGAGGCAUUCAAUCCAGUGGUAAAACCUAUCACCAUUCGAAUUAUUUUAUCUCUUGUGAUCUCUCACAAUUAGCCACUUCGACUAUUGGAUGUCAAAUGUGCAUUUUUACAUGGUGAUUUACAGGAAACAAUAUUCAUGUCUCAACCUCCAGGCUAUGUUGAUCCGGGCAAAUCUAAUCAUGUUUGUCACAUGAAGAAAUCUAUUUAUGGUCUUCGUCAAGCCCCUCGAGCCUAGUAUGAUAAGUUUAAUUCAAAACUCUGAGAUUUUGGAUUCACCGUCUUUAACUCCGAUCCAUCAAUGUUCAUCUUCCACUAAGGGCAUAUAACUAUAUAUCUCGUCCUAUACAUUGAUGAUAUCAUACUCACUAGCAGUGAUACUUUAACGUUGCAAUAGUUAAUCUCAUAUCUUAGUCAUCAUUUCUGCAUGAAAGACCUCGAACCUCUUUUUUAUUUUCUUGGUGUUCAGAUAACAUAUAAUUCUAAAGGCAUAUAAUCAAUCAGUCAAAGUAUGUUAUGGAUGUUUAAAAAUGUGGAAAUAUGAAUGGAUGUAAACUAGUCGUAAUGCCUACAAUUUCUCAAGAACUUGGCCAAGGUGAUGGCCCUCCACUAUUGAAUUCCACUAUUUAUCGUAUUCUUAUUAGAGCGCAGUAUCCUACUCUGACACGCCCUAACAUUUCUUCAACUGUUAAUCAAGUUUGUUAAUUUCUAAAGUCUCCCACUGAGGAUCUUCUUGUGGCAAUCAAACUCAUUUUGCAUUAUUUAAAAUGCAUAAUCACUCAUAGUCUUCACUCUUGUCUAAUCCAACACCAAUUCAUUGCCUAUUAUGACGCUGAUUGGGCAGGCUACCCAAUUGAUCAACACUCUACUAGUGGAUUUUGUGUUUUCUUAUGUUCCAAACCCAUUUCUUGGAGUGUUAAGAAGUAAGCUACAGUGGCACAUUCUUCAUCUGGAAUUGAGCAUUGGUGUCUGGUUGAGGCUAACACUGUAGCUAAAUUAGUUUGGCUAUCUUCCUUGUUACGUAAACUGCAUUGCCCACUCCUUACACCACCCACUAUCUAAUGUGAUAAUGUUUCAACAAUCUCUUUUGCCAAGUGAAGGAAAUUACCUCAAAAUCCGUAUUGUGAUUUAUUAGUGGCUCCAAUUUGGAAUCUUCCUUCCCAGCUAUCUCCUUUUUGAUAGGAGGAGCUUGCUCAAUAGCUAACUUUGCUGCUUCCUUCCCAAGGAUGACCACAGCGUGUGCUUCAUCUAGUAGGCUACACAUGUUGUCCAAAGCAUUAUGUAGCUUCUCAAUUUUUUGGUUUUUGGUUUCUUCCAAGUCAAUAUGCAAUGGGACAGGUAUUUCCAUAAUUAAAUGAUGUAAAGCAAGAGUAUCUCUAUGUGUACUAAAUAAUUAAGACAUGCUCUUUCGUACUAAAAAAACGUACUUGUGGGUCCUUUGUGCUUCCUGAUAGAAGUAGUUCAAAGAGUCCCACAUCGUCAUAGAUGUGACUAUUUGUUUGAAAAUCUACUACUAUCUUGGGCAAGAAAAUUUUCCUUAGGUGUCUAAUCGGUCUACCAUGAACUGAUUAGUGGUGACUCUUAGUUGAAAAUCUUUUGCAUGCUAAAUAUUUGAACCUAAAUCACGAAUUAAUAUGGGCUUGGGAGAGCCAAAGCUAAGUUUAAAACUUAGUAGUUCAUUAGCAAAACCCUAGAUAGCACACCCAAGAUUGGGUCGCGACAAUUUGGAAACAAGAUUUUUUCUUAUUUCUUCAUUUGAAACAGGCUCUUAUUCUAUUUCUGCAUUCUUUCUAAAUUCAAGGACUAACUACUGAAUCGCAAAUAAAAAACAGAGAGUAGAUUCAUAGGUCUGAUGCCUUGUAAUAGAACAUAGGGUUAAUAGAUCACAUAGAUUCAACAAAUGAGAUGGGUUCAUUAACAAUUCAAAGAUGAAAAAAUGGUAUAUAUAUAUAUAUAUAUAUAUAUAUAUAUAUAUAUAUAUAUAUAAAAGCAUUUCUUCCUCUUCUCUUUCAUUUAAUAAAAGUCUUGAAUUUUGGAUUACUAAAAGUUUUGAGUUUUUUCAUCCAGCUAGAAAGGGAUGUGGUCACCAGAGGAGAAGCUAAGGCAAUUAUCUUCAAGUGCUCAAACAGCCGUGUUACGGACUAGUGGGGAAGGUGGUAGUAUCCAAUGGAACAUUAAUUUGAGCCCCGACCUCAACAUAUUUGGCAAUAGGUUCUCUCUCACUUAGUCACUCAGUCAGUCAGUAAACAAAGGCAGCGAAUGUUAAAUUAGCGAAUCUCUCUCACUCACUCAGUAAAUAAACUCGAUGCAUGUUAAAUUAGUGAAUAUCUUUAAUGACGCUAGAUAGAUUUUUUUUAGUAUUGGUAAAGAUUCAUUAGCAUUAUCUUAGCCAAAAGAAUGCAGUUGUAGCGCUUAUUUUUCAUGUCAACCUCAAAUUAAUGCUGAUAAAUUAUUGUGCUCCUCUUCAUUCCGAAGAUGGGAUCAUAAGUAACCAACUUUGCUUUGUGACUAAUGGCGGUCGGGGCAAUGGUAGGCGGUUGUGCGGCGGUCGUGCGACAAUCGUGCGGCAAUCGUGCGGCGGUCAUGCGGCAAUCGUGUGGCGGUCAUGCGGCAUUGUCUAUACCAUCUUCAGCAAUUAGAUUGAUGUUAAGUAAACCAUUUUUGGUUAUCUUCAAAUAUAGCUGAAGAAAAUGUCUGCAACUUAUAAUCUAUUACCUUAUUUUUCUUUACUAUUUCUUUGAUGCAUACUACUCAUGUCACUAUAAAUUCAGAUAGUCUACUACAUCUUGGCCAAAUGACAACAAUUUAUCCGGUCCACAAGACACGGCUGCAGAAGAGGAAAGUGACCUACAUCCAGCUUUCCAUUCAUGAACGAACCAUGUUGCUAUUGAUUUUCAUUAUGUCAAAGAAUAAGUUGGGCAUAAAACUCUCACUAUUAAUUUCAUCUCCAGCAAAGAUCAAAUUGUAGAUUUGUUCAUAAAAGGUCUAAGUUCUAAUUGCAUCAAUUUUUUGUGACUAUUUAAUAAAAGUCUUGAAUUUUGGAUUACUAAAAUGUUUGAGUUUUUUCAUCUAGCUAGAAAGGGAUGUGGUCACCAGAGGAGAAGCUGAGGCAAUUAUCUUCAAGAGCUCGCACAGUCGUGUUACGGACUGGCGGGGAAGGUGGUAGUAUCCAAUGGAGCAUUAAUUUGAGCCCCAACCUCAACAUAUUUGCCAAUAAGUUCUCUCUCACUUAGUCGCUCACUCAGUCAGUAAACAAAGGCAACGAAUGAUAAAUUAGUGAAUCUCUCUCACUCACUCAGUAAAUAAACUUGAUGCAUGUUAAAUUAGUGAAUAUCUUUAAUGACGUUAGAUAGAAUUUUUUUAGUAUUGGUAAAGAUUCAUUAGCAUUAUCUAAGCCAAAAGAAUGCAGUUGUGGCGCUUAUUUUUCAUGUCACAACCUCAAAUUAAUGAUGAUAAAUUAUUGUACUCCUCUUCAUUCCGAAGAUGGGAUCAUAAGUAACCAGCUUUGCUUUGUGACUAACGGUGGUCGGCGGCGACGGUCGGCGGCCGUGCGGCGGUCGUACGGCGGUCGUGCGGCAAUCGUGUGGUGGUCGUGCAACGGUCGUGCAGCAUCGUCUAUACCAUCUCCAGCAUUUAGAUUGCUAUUAACCAAACCAUUUUUGGUUAUCUUCAAUUAUGAGUUGAAAAAAAAAUGUCUGCAACUUGUAAUCUAUUUCCUUAUUUCUCUUUACUUUUUCAUUGAUGCAUACUACUCAUGUCACUGUAAAUUCAGAUAGUCUGCUACAUCUUUGCCAAAUGACAACAAUUUAUCCAGUCGACAAGACACGGCUGCAGAAGAGGAAAGUGACCUACAUCCAGCUUUCCAUUUAUGAACGAACCAUGUUGCUAUUGAUUUUCAUUAUGUCAAGGAAUAAGUUGGGCAUAAAACUCUCGCUAUUAAGUUCAUCUCCAGCAAAGAUCAAAUUGUAGAUUUGUUCAUAAAAGGUCUAAGUUCUAAUCCCAUCAAUUUUUUGCGACUAUUUAAUAAAAGUCUUGAAUUUUGGAUUACUAAAAGUUUUGAGUUUUUUCAUCUAGCUAGAAAGGGAUGUGGUCACCAGAGAGAAGCUGAGGCAAUUAUCUUCAAGCGCUCGCACAGUCGUGUUACGGAUUGGCGGGGAAGGUGGUAGUAUCCAAUGGAGCAUUAAUUUGAGCCCCGACCUCAACAUAUUUGGCAAUAGGUUCUCUCUCACUUAGUCACUCACUCAGUCAGUAAACAAAGGUAACGAAUGUUAAAUUAGUGAAUCUCUCUCACUCACUCAGUAAAUAAACUUGAUGCAUGUUAAAUUAGUGAAUAUCUUUAAUGACGUUAGAUAGAAUUUUUUUAGUAUUGGUAAAGAUUCAUUAGCAUUAUCUAAGCCAAAAGAAUGCAGUUAUGGUGCUUAUUUUUCAUGUCACAACCUUCCGAAGAUGGGAUCAUAAGUAACCAGCUUUGCUUUGUGACUAAUGGCGGUCGGUGGUCGUGCGGCAAUCGUGCGGCGGUCGUGCGACAGUUGUGCGGCAUUGUCUAUACCAUCUCCAGCAAUUAGAUUGCUAUUAACUAAACCAUUUUUGGUUAUCUUCAAAUAUGAGCUAAAGAAAAUGUCAGCAACUUGUAAUCUAUUACCUUAUUUCUCUUGACUAUUUCAUUGAUGCAUACUACUCAUGUCACUAUAAAUUCAAAUUGUUUGCUACAUCUUCGCCAAAUGACAACAAUUUAUCUAGUCCACAAGACACAGCUGCAGAAGAGGAAAGUGACCUGCAUCCAGCUUUCCAUUCAAUAACAAACCAUGUUGCUAUUGAUUUUCAUUAUGUCAAGGAAUAAGUUGGGCAUAAAACUCUCGCUAUUAAGUUCAUCUCCAACAAAGAUCAAAGUGUAGAUUUGUUCAUCAAAGGUCUAAGUUCUAAUCCCAUCAGAUUUUUGCGACUAUUUAAUAAAAGUCUUGAAUUUUGGAUUACUAAAAGUUUUGAGUUUUUUCAUCCAGCUAGAAAGGGAUGUGGUCACUAGAGGAGAAGCUAAGGCAAUUAUCUUCAUGCGCUCGGACAGCCGUGUUACGGACUGGUGGGGAAGGUGGUAGUAUCCAAUGGAGCAUUAAUUUGAGCCCCGACCUCAACAUAUUUGCCAAUAGGUUCUCUCUCACUUAGUCACUCACUCAGUCAGUAAACAAAGACAACGAAUGUUAAAUUAGUGAAUCUCUCUCACUCAAUCAGUAGAUAAACUUGAUGCAUGUUAAAUUAGUGAAUAUCUUUAAUGACGUUAGAUAGAAUUUUUUUAGUAUUUGUGAAGAUUCAUUAGCAUUAUCUAAGCCAAAAGAAUGCAGUUGUGGCGCUUAUUUUUCAUGUCACAACCUCAAAUUAAUGAUGAUAAAUUAUUGUACUCCUCUUCAUUCCGAAGAUGGGAUCAUAAGUAACCAGCUUUGCUUUGUGACUAAUGGCGGUCGGCGGCGACGGUUGGCGGUCAUGUGGCGGUCGUGCAGCGAUCGUGUGGCAAUCGUGCAACUUGUAAUCUAUUACCUUAUUUCUCUUGACUAUUUCAUUGAUGCAUACUACUCAUGUCACCGUAAAUUCAGAUAGUCUGCUACAUCUUCGCCAAAUGACAACAAUUUAUGCAGUCCACAAGACAUUGUUGCAGAAGAGGAAAGUGACCUGCAUCCAGCUUUCCAUUCAAGAACGAACCAUGUUGCUAUCGAUUUUCAUUAUGUCAAGGAAUAAGUUGGGCAUAAAUCUCUCGCUAUUAAGUUCAUCUCCAGCAAAGAUCAAAUUGUAGAUUUGUUCAUAAAAGGUCUAAGUUCUAAUCGCAUCAGAUUUUUGCGAACCAACCUUGACCUUCAGCUAACCGUGCUCAGCUUGAGAGGGAUGAUAACAUAUCAUCCUAAAAUCGAGCAACUUGAUCUCUUCCAUCUUUCUAAAAAAUUGCGUUCUUUAUUUUCCAAGUCUUGAAUUACCAGAAUCAAGAAAAAGGAGUUUGGCUAUCCUCCUUGUUUUUUUUUUUCCAUAUAGAUGGGAAUUAGCACGACAAUCCAUCGUUAGAAUUCCCCGCUUAAAUCUUUGCUCCCCAUGGUGAGAAUUGUAUCCGCAGCUAUUGAAUCUUGAGCCCAAAGAAUUGGAAUGCCCUUAGUACUGGAUCAAACCCCGAGCGACUAACGUUGAAACAGUUUUGAGUACACAACACGUGCUUAUCUAUACUUAUUAUAUAAAGCAACAUGAACCUCGUACUUUUACGACAUCUUGAUCAUUUCUACUUCCCAAACGUCCUCGACUAUUUAUUUUACAAAUAUAUUAUUUGCGGGCAUACUCAUAGAUUAUUAAUUCUACCUUGUCUUUUGCGAAUUAAUUUUAAAUUUUGAAUCUUGUAUUCAAUAGGAUAACCUUCCUAAAAAAAAAAAUUCAGAUCUUAAAAUAUUUUUCUCUUUCCUCAUAUAUUUAGACAAUAUCUUUCGUAUGGAUAUUUUUGUCAACCCAUUACUUAAUAAUAAUAAAAUUUCGUACUAAGGUGGCUUUUUUUCCCAUCUUUAGCAUAAAUGCAAAACUUAGGCAUAUUUGCUAGUCUAAAGAAAAGCAUACGUGAAAAAUAAUAUCAUGUCGCUACAUUAUUUCAUUUUUUUACGCUACAUAUUGAUCUUGUUGUUGCUUGAAUGGAUAGGAACUCAUCCUUCUUUACUAUGAUUAAAAGUUGAGAUAAUUGUCAAAAAAUCCUAUACCUAUUUUUACGGCUAAUAAUUCAAUCAUAAAUCUUUUAAUUGUGUUAAUUUAGUCGUAAACCUUUCAAUUGUGCUAAUUUAGUCUUAAAUAUUAUGAUAAUUCGUCAAUUUAGUUUAAACCUUUUGACAACAUGCCAAAUUUAAUUGAAAAUAAAAAAACAUAGACGCUAGCCAUCUUACAUGACGUGGUUAGUGUUGAUAUGAAUAAAUUUUGCAUUUUUAAAAUUUAUUCCCUUUUCUUUCCCUUUGCUUGUGGCUAUUACUAAGCUGUAGUCAAUGAUCUUCCACAAGUGAGAGUUGCCCUUGACUAGAUCUCGCUAGCUGCAAGCAAGAUGAGCCUCGUUAGAUUGGGCAAGGGCAACCCUUGCCUAGCCCAAGAAAAGAAAAAAAAAUAGAAAAAAGGGAAAAAAAGAAAAAAAGAAAAAAAUUAGAGAAAUUUUUACAAAUUGUCCACAUCAACGCCAAUUACAUCAUAUAAGUCUACUAUAGCUAAUCAGAUUGUCACGUUAGUAUUUUCUAGUCAAAGUUGGAUAAAAUGACUACAUUGGCAAAUUCUUAAGAAGUUUAUAACGAAAUCAACAUAAUUGAAAGAUUUAGUAAUAAAUUGGCACAUAAAUAAUAGAUUUGUGACUUUUUUGAUAAUGUUUCCAUUAUAUCGGAGUGAGGACAACUAGGAAACCCCUCCAUGCCCUACUUGAAUGUCGAAUUUUGCACACUUCCAAGCUUUCAAAGGGAAUUUCUAAUUCCUUUGUACUAUCGGUCAUAUCUUGAACAGUAUUUUCUGAUUUUUUUUUCCGAAGUUUGGCCGAAGAAUUUAACCAAACCUUGACCUUCAAUCAUUUCUUUAUUUUGAGUCCAAUUGGCUCUAUUUUCAAGCCGCCAAAAAAGAAAGUGCUCGUGACUUUAGUUUUACAAAAAUACCCUUGGAUGGGAAAAACUCUUGAAUUUGAUGAAGUCAUCUAGGUCGGACGCUUGUGACGAGAAGAUGUUACAUCGUGUACUCUUACAAUCAAAUUCGAUGACUUAAAGCAUCACCGGAAAACUCUUGGUCCAUAUUAUUAAAUUACACUCUUUAAUCCAAAAUGAUCCAAUUCAAAUCAAUCUAUUUAAGUUAUAUUAACUCAUUUUCAUGGAUACAAAUUUAAUGACAUACACUAACCCGAUCUUGACCCGAUCCUUAUUUGGUAUUCGUGUCCAUUAUUUGUUUUUUUUUUUUCUCUUUUAUCUUGUCAAGAUCGUAUAAACUUGGUCUGAUAAGAUGGAGAAUUUAUUUUCAAGAAAAAUGGGUCGAAAUUUAUGUAAAUUCUGUCACUUUUAAGUCGUUAACGUUCAUGUGCGUGAUGCUCAAAGUUGGUAUUAUAUUCUAAUAUGGUAUCAAUUAGUAUCUUGUUCUAACGAGGUUUAAUUACCAAAGGUCACAAUUUCAUACAAUUAGCGUAGCCUUUUCGUUAUUCCGCAAAACAACAUGAUCUUGGACAGAUCUCCAUUUCGUGUCUUUGAAAAUGUAAAAAGAAACACACGAAUUGCGUUGUCUAGCAAGAGACACAUCGCGACGACAUGGGUUACACAUAGGGCCGUCAAAUCCUAUCUCGCAAGAGAUAAUUUUUGCUGUCCGUCCAUUAAUCCUUUUUAGGUUCGUCUCGGGUGGAUCGCGACAAUAAUUUCUUCAAAGGAUGAAGAACUGUUAGACAAUUCAUAUAAAGCUUAAUGCAGAAAUUCAUAACAAAUCAGUGAUCUUUUGAUCUUCAUGAUUUUCACAAUUAGAUGAAGACAUACAUUUCUCCAUAACGCUGCACUUGAUGAUGAUCGUUGUAGAAAACUGAAAGAACUCGAACCAAAUGAUGAAAUCCGAUUUCUCUCCCUUAACCCACUAAAUCUUAAUGUACUCAAUUGAUGGAGGAGAGAAUACGUUCUUUCAGUUACUGUUGUUCAUUGUGGGUGGAGAGAGGACCGGACUCUAUUUAUGCGUUCAUUGAAAAUAUGCCUUCCAUCAAAGCGAUAUACCCUUUCGUUUUAUUAGAGUCAUACCUUCUCGUAACCAAUAAUUAAUUAUAGUAUUUCAAUAAUUAUUAAACCAUAUAAUAAAUCACAUAAUAUGGGCCACAAUAAUUUUUAAAUGAACGAGUUCCACAAAGAAAGAAAGAAAGAAGGAAGGAAGCCAUAGUAAGAAGAAACAAAAUGUUCCUCAUACUUCCCCCCACCGAAGAAUAAAAGAGAGAAUCAGAACAAAUUUAUUGAAAAUUGCUCGCAAUCAAGCGAUCCAAUCGUCAUCUCUUCAGAGAGCAGAAAGCCCAGAUCCACCGGGGAAAUAAGCCACUACAAUAGGUGGGGACUCGGGCUCCCUCUUCCCAAUUUCCUUCAUUUUCUCUUCACUCGCGACGCCAUCUUUGCUGCCUCUCGAAUCGCACCGCAUGUGAUCUUCUCCUUCGCAGUUCACCCUCUUCGCACAACCACCGGAGAAGCACCCCGAGCACGAGCCGGAGACGAGAAUCAUAGCGGCCGCAGCAGCGACUACGACGAUGGAAAGAAGGUGUGAGGAGCAGAAAGUGAACUUUCCGGAGCUUUUCGAUGUGAUGCCGAUCUCAGUCGCUUCCUCUCUUUAUAUAUAUAUAGGGUUGAAGGCGGUUCCCAUGUGUUUGAAUACCAAACCCUAACUUGAUCAGUUUCCUCCUCAAGAAAUUUCUGGGAGACUCCGUAAUUAGUGGUGAAUAAGGAAAAUGCGUUGGGGUUCAUUCUUUUAAGAGAGCUGAUUGGACUAAUCGAUGUCAUUAUUACAUGACGACAAACAUGCUUAGUGACUAAGGAAGCGGUAGUUGAGAAAUCCUAGAGCAAUCGGCGGUAUUUCUUUCCUUUCUUGGGGAUUUUCUUUCCUUUUCAACACUUCGAAUCCAAUGACGAAGUUUUCUCGUAGCCUGCCUUAUUCCACGGCUCGAGAACCAUGUGGGAUUUUGCUGCCUCCGCGGGGCGGUUGUUAUAAGCGGCAAUGAGUCCAUUUGAUGAGAUGCCAUGCCCCGCGACGGUUCAAGCCUCGUAUAAUGACGUGUCGUGCAAUGAUGUGAUAUUUCAUGUGAUGAUAUAUCAUGUGGUGACAUGUUAGGUAAUAUGAUGUCGAAUCAUGUAAUGAUGUGUCAUGUGAUGACAUAAUGAGACAAUUUCCUUUUUUCUUUUAUUUUCUUUUUUCUCCCUCUCUCCUCCACCAUUGCUGAGAAAGAGAGAGAGAGAGAGGAGAAAAUUACCAAAAUAGUCCUAAACUUAUUACAAAUUUUUCCUAUUUAGUCAUAUUACAAUUGUGUCUAUUUGGCCAAAUUCGACCGGCCGACGCUAACGUGAUGCCGGUUGGUGCCGAACCAUGCCGACUUGGUAGUUUGAUAAUAACAUUUUUUUCUUUUUCUUUUUUUUCUUUCUUCCUCUUCUUCUAGCCAGUCGCUAGACUAGCCAAAGGUUACAACUAGGGAGGUUGACCUUGCUAGCCAUGGUGAGGCCUCGCCAUCAUGGGCGAGCUUGCCCUCACCAUCGCUAAGGGAGGUUGAGCUCGCCAUGGCUAGGCAAGACCUCACCAUCACGGGUGAGCUCCCCCUCACCCUUGCCAAAUCUAGGCAACAGUGAAGUCAACCUCAUUAGCUGUAACCUUUGGCCAAUCUAAAGAAGAAGAAAGAAAAAUAUAAAAUUAAUAAAAAAAUUUGAAAAAAUAAAAAUAUUGUUAAGAAAUUGCCACAUCAACGUUGAUCGACCCAUCGACGUGGAUGCCAAUGAUGGUUGGCAUCCAUGUCAACUACGGCCAACCAAAUUAUGCCAAAUGGAUUGAAUUAGCACAAUUACAAAAAGUUUAAAACUAAAUUGGUCAAAAAAAGUUCAUGAUUGAAUUGGAAAAAUUACAAUAUGUUUAAGACCGUUUUGAUAACUUUCCCAGAACUACUCUUGACAAUGGCUUACAAGUCUAGUUCCGUUCUCUCUGUCACUCAAUCAUCGUUGCUCCUCAACAGCCAUGUCAUUGGCUUCCGACACGGAUCUCUCUUGCCGAGACCUGAUCGUUCAGAUCACAAACAACUGCAUCAUCCCUUUUCUGCUCGACUUCUUCAAUCAAGUGAAGUAGCGAUGUGACAUCCCGAUUUUUCUCAAGUUUAUUUUCAGUCAAUUGAGUCGGGCAAUUCAUCCGUGCAUGUAGUUCGUCUCUUAGAGUUGGCCACUCACGAGGGAACUAGUUUAUUGAGUGAAGUAAUUAAGGAAUUUUACCGCGUCAGACUUGGGGACUGAUCACCCUCGGGUCGAAUGCAAGAAAAUUUCCCCAAAAGCUACUCAAUGGAUUAGGCGAGCCGAAAUUGCACCGGAUUGAAUUCAGUCGUAAAAAUUGGGAUUGAACUUAGAAGUUGGAAGCCGAUCAUGUCACAUACCUUAGUAGGAUCAUUGGAUUAAUUUAUGGACUUUGAUUUGGACUCAAUUGGAAGAGAAUUGAUGGAAAUUGAAAUAAUUAAAUGUGCAAGAACUUGGACCCCGGCGGAAAAUGAAUUGGACCUAUUGGAAGAUGUUGUGAAGAUUUGAGUUAGUGGAGAGUGACAUCAGCAGGUGAUGUCAUGGUGGAGGCCAAAAUUAAGGAGAGCUUGACAAGUGUCACAAGCCAAUUGGCUCACCAAAAGUGGGGGUGUCCCAUCCACUUCAUCUUCAACCUCUAGCACCUUGGGAAGGGAAAUUCGAAAAUUGCGGGGGGGGGAGAGAGAGAAUCCGGCGAGAGAGUUGCAGCUGGUCCGUCCGCCCCUUCGUCGCGUCUCCGCCGCUACCGUCUCGCCCGCCGUCGCACGCCGUCGCCGUUCGCCGCUCGUCCGCGUGUGAGGCCCCGGGUGCGAGCUCGUCGCGUCUCCGUCGCCACCGUCUCCUCGCCCGAGCUGCUGGUAACCGACCACCGAAGCUUCCGUCGCCGCCGACCGUCCGCUCAAGCCCCCGCCGGUUGUUGCACAAGCUGUCGCCGGUUCUCCUCCGCCGUUUCUCCGCCCGUUCAGCCACCGUUCCGUCCCCUUCCAAGCUCGGUUAGUUGCUGGAAAAACCAGCAAGAACCAGCUCCUUUUAAGCUCGGUUUGGUCCCCUUUUAGUGCUCAUUUGGUCUUAAUCCGUGUAGGUUUGUCGUCGGCGUCGUCGUGCUCUUCACCGGAGACCCGUCGGAAAGCGAUUCCGGUGAGUUUACCUCACUAAUCAGCGAUUAGCGAGAUAAUGAUGCCCUAAGUAUGUUUAGCUUAAUUGAUUGAGAUUAGGUGGAUAGAUUGGCUUAAUUAGUUGUGGAUUAUAUUAAGGUGAUUGAUUAAGGUAAAGUGUGUUUAGUUAAUGGUUAAGUAUGUUUAUCUUUAAAAUAAACCUUGAUUGACUUAAAGGAAUUUGUUUAUGAUUUAAAUAAAUGCUUCGAAAUUGUUGGAUUAUUUAAUAAUAUAUCUUAUUCCCAAAUUCAUUAAAAUAUUAUUUUAUAAAGAAAAAAAAAACUCGAAAAUUCAUUUUUUGAUCCUAUUUGCUCAGAACUUCGUGCCGAUCGCUGAUAUAUGUUUAGAAUUUGAAUUUGAUGAGUAAAUAUUGCAAAUUGAAUGUUGAUUGUGAAAAAUAGGAAUUUUAUUCAAAAAUUCCCACGUGUCGGGUUUGACACCGAAAUCGAAUUUGGAAGGGUUAAUAUUGAAAUUGGAGUAUGUGAGUGACGUGUAAAGUAUCCAAUGAUCGGUAUUGAAUUGUCGUGUGCUAGUUGAAAGGCUCGGGUCGCAGUAGUGGCUAGGCCGACUGGAUCCUUAUUCUUCUAGAAAUGCCGUCAAGAGAAUGACGUGGCAUGGUCGCAGUAGUGGCGAGACCGACUGGACCAUUAUUAUUCUAGAAAUGCUGUCGAUAGAACGACGUGGCAUGGUCGCAGUAGUGGCGAGACCGACUGGACCUUUAUUAUUCUAGAAAAGCUGUCGAUAGAACGACGUGGCAUGGUCGCAGUAGUGGCGAGACCGACUGGACCUUUAUUAUUCUAGAAAAGCUGUCGAUAGAACGACGUGGCAUGGUCGCAGUAGUGGCGAGACCGACUGGACCUUUAUUAUUCUAGAAAAGCUGUCGAUAGAACGACGUGGCAUGGUCGCAGUAGUGGCGAGACCGACUGGACCUUUAUUAUUCUAGAAAAGCUGUCGAUGGAACGACGUGGCAUGGUCGCAGUAGUGGCGAGACCGACUGGACCUUUAUUCUUCUAGAAAUGCUGUAAUGUUAGUAGAUAGCCUACCUGCGAGUAGGUUGUGCCCUUGUGUGGCAAUGGAUAAUGAUGACAUGGAAUGCUUGCCGUGGUUGUGAAAUUAAGUGAAAUCGAUUGUGUUCCGAUGGCUUACAUUCUUAUCAUUACUGGUGCUUGAGUGAUAUGUAUUAUACUAACCUGCAGGAAGCCAAGAAGGCGAGGUAAGUCUUCUUGAUGUUGUGGCUAAGCUGCUUCGGGGCGUAUUUACUUUCUAAUAGGGGUUUAGGAGGGGUGAACUUGCUGAGACAAAGUCUCAUCCCGGUUUGGGGAAAAAUAUUACAGGACCGUAGAUGGCGAGACCCCCGGAGAUGAGUGGCCUGCCGACGGAGAUUGACCAGACGACUGAGAGUACUCCUGACCCCGGGAGCCCCUGGGUCUAUCAGUUGGUGAGGACCACCAUUUGGGUCGAGGUGAACGUGGAUAAUAGAGUACCUUACUUUUUUAGGGCUUGGUUUCGUACCGGAGCAGAUGGGGUUAGGAUUGGCCCCCUUGACAGCAUGGACAUUCCACUGGCGGUGAUGACUGCCAUUUUGGAAGAAGGGGUAGCAGAUCAUCCUGAUGGUCGAGUGGUCAACGCUUCGCCCCCGGCCUCUUGGGUGACUGAUCCUGAGGAUGUAGGGUCGACGAAUGGGGAUGACCAAUAGUCCUAGGAUUGUGCCUUUUUCCUUUUUGGGCGGACUGAUUCGUGUUAUGUAGGCUAACCCUCUUUUGAUGUGCAUAACUCUGACUCAUUUUUGGUGUAUAGGCCCUGGAUCCAGUUGAUGUAUGUAAGCCCUGGACUGUUGAUAUUGUAUGAAAGUAUGAUGUUUGAUUUUGAGUUGAUGUUCCUGCUGUCCUAUCCCGUAUGCUUUUGUAAGGGGUUUCUUAGUACGUUCCGCUUGCGCAUUAAAUAAAUAAAAAUUGGGGUCGGCGACACUACCUGGGAAUGUCGCAUUUGCAUGACCAUGGCGGGUUGUUCACGUGUCUCGGGGUUCGGGGCGUGACAAGCGACACAUCCUUUGCCCGAACGAUGAGGCCCAAGUCGAGGGCUGUCCUCACCUAGGUAGGCGUUGGCCAUUAACAAGGGAGGGAGGGAAGGGAAUAAAAAAAAUAAAAAAAUAAAAGGAAAAGGAAAUAAAUAUACCUAGAAUUUUUUGACUAAAAUACCCCUUCUCUAGAAGCCAGAAUAGUCACAUGCUCAUUAGCCAGCCAAAUAGGUCCAUAUUUAAAACGAUUUGAUCACUUUGGGUUCUUAUUUGAAUUGACUUGGUCAUUUUAGGUCUUAUUUGAGACAAUAUCCAUUAUGGACCCUUUUUUGAGGAAAUGGCUCAAUUUAGGACCCUUAUUUGAAAUUUUCCUUUUUAAUUUGUAAUAAAAAAAAUUGGAAUUUAGUUAAACUUUCACCUUUAGUUGCUUAUUCUUUUCAAGUUCAGCUACUCGAUUCUCAAGCUUACAAAAAUACAUUAAAUGGGGGAAAAUAUUGGAAUUGAGGAAAUAAUCUAGAUCGGUGCCAUGUGUUGCGAUCUAAUAUAGGGUAUCCCGAAUUAGGAAAGACUUAUUCACAUUUUUUUUUUUUUUUUUUGGUAUUGGAGGAACCAGCUUGUAGCCAACAGCCACGCCGUUAUUCACAUAUUUGUUCCCUUGAGUGUCAUUGAAAAACUUUCUAUAAAUACCUAUUAAACUACAAUUUUUUUAAAUCUAAAAUGAUGCGAUUCAAAUUGACCAAUUUCAUUAAUAUUGAUCCGUUUUCAUGGAUACAAAUUAUAACCUACGCCUGACCCAUAUUUGGUAUUCGUGUCAUCACUUGUAUUGUUUUUUUACCUUCUCAAGUUCGUAUAAACUUGGUCUAAUAAGAUGCAAUGUUUCCUUUCAUGAAAAAUGGAUCGAAACGUAUCUAAGCUCUGUCACUUUCAAGUAAUUAAAGUUCAUAAGUGUCAUAUUCAAGGUCGGUAUUUUGCUCUAAUAUGGUGUCGAUCAGUAUUUUGUUCUAAUGUUGUGUCAAGUCAUUAACGUGGUUUAAUUACCAAAGUCACAUAAUUCAUAGAAUUAGUGUAACCUUUUAGUUUUUCUUCGAAACAACAUCGUGGACGGAUCUCCAUUUCGUGUCCUUGACAUUGGAGACCAAAAACACAUGAAUUGUGUUGUAUAGAGCUGUGUUUUGAGAUUGAAUUAGAACAGGGAUUAAUAUCAAUUACACAAUAUGUGCACUUUUUUUCUACACAUUCCACGUCCAUCACAUGAUCAUAUUUGAGUUGUCCAAACUGAGUAGUAGAGUUAAGUACGAGUAACUAGAGUAUACUCAAUAGAGUUUGGGCUCAUGAUUUUAAUAAUUGAUUCAAGUGACUGGUAAGUCUAAUUUUGAAAUCAAAUGUCUAUUUUAGAAAAAUCGAUGUGUAUGUUACCUCCAUCUUUUAUCGUGCUCAGCAAACUUAAGUUUUCAAAUUGAGAUAGAGGGUUGAAUGUUUACCGAUAUUCCUGAUUAUUAAUUAGGAAACCACUAGCAACAAGAUAAAAAAAAAAAAAAAAUGGUUCCUUCUUCAAAAUUCAAAUUGGGCAAGGCACUUCUGAUAUUCUAGUGGAGUCUAAUGUACGCUUUACCAUAGUUCUACCUUUUGUCUUCUUUUCGUAAAAUCUUUUUUUUUCCUUCAAGUUUUGCUUCUUAUUGAUUUCUCUUUUCUUGCUUGCUUAACCAUUUUUACAUCGGUCUACAUCGGUAGAGUUAACAACGGAUGUUGACCGGCAGCCGUUAGUGAUGCUUUCUGACAGACAUGAAUAUGAUGAAGAGUUUAUUCCAAAGUCUAGUUUUGCCCUUGACAGCAAGAACACAGACAGAUCUAGGCUAACCUUCUUUUUCUUUUUUCCAAUGGGUGGAGAGAAUGAUCCUAAAGUCUAAGCUCCACUGUGGGUGUUCAUGCAUGUAGUCAUGUCUUGAUCUUAAGCACUGAGGAAUUGAGUUAAAAGAGAAGAGAACCAAUGAAACAAGCAUAGAGAAAGCAACUUUUGACUAUUCUUUCACGUACAGAUAAUGUGAUACCUGAACACAAUAUAGCCUCAUAAAAUGGAAGAAAUCAAAAGACAUUCCACUGUUUUAUAUUCAAAUGAAUGAACCAAUACACAGAUCCUAGAAACCCUCCUGCACAAGCAAGGGAUCAUUAAUAGUCUUCAGUUUUUGUCAGGGCUCAGAGACGAGAAAGGUUAGAUCCUAUGGGGAAGUAAGCCAUCGGAAUUGGGGGAGGCUUGGACUUCCUCUUCGAACUGUUCUUAUUCAGCUUGGCUUCACCUCCGACAUGGCCGUCUUUGCUGAUCGAGCUGCUCUUGUUCGAGUGAUCCCCCCCUUCGCAGCUAAUCACUCUACUGUUAGAAUGAUCAGAGAAGCAGCUGAAGAGGCUCGAGAAGAGACUCAUGAUUGAGGAUGAGAACAACAAAGCGGGCAAGGAAAAAAAAAAGGGCGGAGAAUUCAACACUUCAGCUGAAUCUCUCUCAAAGAACAAUCGUAGGAAUUGGAGUUGAGAACUUCCUUUUCUGAGUUGCUUGGCGCAAAGACCCGAGCUUCUUCUUGAGCUAUAUAUAGACAUAUUGAUGAAGCUUUGGAGAGACUUGGCCGCCUUAGCUUCGAAAAUAAUAAAUGAUUUCAGUAACUUAGUCUUCCUUCCUCAGGUUCCUGGAAACGUCUAGGUUGGUUACCCUCAGCCGCCAACAAACCGAGUGUUCAUCAGGUCCAAAUGAGGUUAAUUUUGACUUUCUCUCGACGAAUGACCUUCUUUUUUUUUUUUAUUACUAAAUCGGCCUGCAACAUUAGUACAGGUGCGCUGUUUCUCUUUAGCAGCACGUUUGAACAUGUCAAACAGAGGUGCGUCAUAUCGUGGCUCCCUCUUUGACCCGCCAAUUCUUAAGAUUUUCCUUUUGUUUCAGUCUAAGCAAAAGCGAAAGUAAUGUUAUUUAAAUGUCAAAUAGUUACAGGAAAACUAUGUAUAAUCAAUAUUUGCAUAUUACAGAAGUUAUGAUGUUUGGAAUUUUUAAAAAAAUUCAAAGUGCAUGAACCGCAAGAUUUUGAUUAAAUAAUGCGAAGGGUUUGGUAAGAUCAAUCACGGCAUAGUAGAAGGACAACGGACCACGGAUCUAUUAGGAUGAUCCCCUUGGCAUCAUCCUACCAUUUCUCCAUCUGCGGUUGGAGUGUUUGAUUUGUACUAUUGCCAUGGCUCCUUCUCAAUGGGCCUAAUCAGAGUCACACAUCCUGAAUUAUGAUUGGAUCCACAGAUGUAUGGUGAAAAAGAAGACUUGCAAGUUGGAUACAGCAGGAGUUAUGCUAUAUACAAUGUACCAGCCGAUCCUAGACCACUGAUGAACUAGGAUUUCUCAAAUUGAGGAGUGAUUAGAUGUGAAACGGCAGCCAGACAUUGAAUCUCAUCAAUUGUAGAGAAUGCAAACGCUUUCUUUAAUGAACAUUUUGAUUAAGUCAAUCCGCGUUGCUGUACAGACCACGUUUCUUGAUUCGACCCAUCAGCACCUAAAUAUUCAAACUCAAUGGCAAUACUUCGAUGAUAUAUAAUACAGUCCCUGCGUACCUUUCAUGAGAACUUCAAUCUACACAAUUUUUUUUCAAAUUAGGUAACCAUCAAUUUGGCCCCUAAAUCAAAUGAAGAAAGGGACUGGGAGUCACGUUUCGUGGGGUCGAGAGCGUUUGACUCUACAUGCCACGACCCGCAAUCAUAUUUAAUUUGGAGGACCACCAUUUCCUUGCAGCCCACGUUAAUCAAGAUUCUUAUAUAAAGAUUUCUUCUCAAUUUUCUUGACCUAGAACCACGCGUCGUCGCGUCAUUGGCUUGGUGAUGUACGCUAGAAAAUCAGUUAUUGGGUACCAGACCAAUUCGUACCACGUGGUUUAGACUAGUUCUUAACUCGUGAUGUUUGGGUUUCGAAUUCCGUAAGAUACUUGCUUCUUUUUUUUUUUUUUUUUUAAUGGUGGGUUAAGGUAUGAGGUUACUUCUGGGGACAUGUCCUCCUCCUUGCUUAACGCCUCCAAGUUUGUCUGCAUGCAAUUUACCCUAGAAGUCAGGGCUUACAUAUGGGAUUUAUAUGAAGUGCGUUAGCGGGGUAAAAUACAUUUUACCCAAGUAGUCAUAAAAUAGAAACUCUCAUCUAUUAAAGGAAUCAACUUAUUUACGAAAAUUGAAGACUGUAUACGUGCAUGUCAAUGUCUGGACCAUCUUUUCAAUUUUUUUGUUUUGACAUAAUUAGUGUACCAAAUAAAAAUCAUUACAUGUUAUAUGCUUCAUGAAGACACUUUUAAAGGACUUUUAUUCUGCACAUUGGCGAUGUAAAAGUUGCUUUACACAAGCAAGUCUUGGAGAAUGGCAUACUUAAUUUGUAUUUUUAACUUGUAAAUUUAUGAACAUUAUAGCAUAGUCGAGCAGUCAAAAUCAACACUAAACACGAGUGGUUUUGAACAUCAUUGCUUUGGGAGAGUGGGUAGUUAUAAUUCUCAAAUCAAGAGCAGAUAAGAUAACUUGUAUAAACUUUCUUCUACGCAGACACUGUAUGAUCUAUUUGCUUUUUAGAAAUGUAUUCCAUAAAUGAAUUGAUUUAACCAUUCUAAGACUCUUUGUAUAUUUAGAAAAAAAAAAAAAAAGCUUUUGCAUUGGCUUUGUAUUUAAUAAAAAUCCCGAUAAAAAAUGGGAUAUGUUAAUUGGAGGAGGUGGAUUGCCGCAAGCACCACCAAGUAAGAUUUUAGAGGGGGUCAAAUUUUUGAAGUACCAAGCAAUGUUAAAGUGAAUUAGAACAGAAAUUAGUAUCAACUCCGCAGGAUGUACACUUUUUUUUUCUACACAUUUCACAUCCAUCAUAAGAUCAUAGUCGAUUCGUCCAAUCAGGUACCCAAGGCAAGUAUAAAUCGCCAUAGUACACUAAACACGUUAGUGCUCAAGUUUGGUCUUAACUGAUUUAAGUGAUUAGCAAGUCUAAUUAUGAAGGCCAAACUUGCAAUAUCAGAAAUAUCGAUGUGAUAUUACCUCUACUUUCAAACUCAUUUUUUGAGAUUUCAGAUUGCUUGUAUGUCAGUUUGGCUAUUGUUAGUGAUGCAAACAUACUUUCUAUCAGACAUGAAUAUGAUAGAUAAUUUAUUCCGAAGGUUAGUUUAACAUUAGAUCAAGCAAUUUGAAAUGUUAAAAAUGAGUCAAUCUAAAGGCUAGAGCUUCUUUUACCCUUGAUAACGAGAAGACAGACAGAUUUAGGCAAACCUUCUCUCUCUCUUUUUUCCCCUUUCCAAUUGGGUCUUUAUCUUAAUCACUGAGGAAUUGACUUGAAAGAGCAUAUCGAAAAAGCAACUUUUGAAUAUAAUUUCACGAAAAGAUGAUGGAUGCUUGAACACAACAAUGGCUAGAUCUACUUUUACCCUUGAUAGGACAAGCACAGACAGAUUUAGACUAACCUUGAAAGCAACUAGGGAACUGGGGAAACAAACAUAGAAAAAGCAACUUUUGACUAUUCUUUCACAUAAAAAUGGUGUGAUACUUUAACACAAUGCCAUACGCUAACCUCAUAAAAAGGGAAAACAAAAAACAUUUCUAAGUGUUGUACUUUCAGUUCCCAACAAUUUCUUAAGAACAAAUGUGGACCAAUACACAGAUUGUACCACCCUCUUGCACGAAAAAGAUGAUUAUAACUGGUCUUCAGUUUUCGGCCGGACUCAGAGAGGAGAGAGUUGAGAUCCGAUGGGGAAGUAGCUCAUUGGUAUUGGAGGAGGCUUGGACUUGCUCCUGGAGAAGUUCUUCUUCGAUUUGCCCUUACCUUUGACACGGCCGUGUUUGCUUAUCGAACAGCUCUUGUUCGAGUGAUCCUCUCCUUCCAAGCUGAUCACUCUACUAUUUGAAUGAUCAGAGAAGCAACUGAAGAGGCUCGAGAAGAGACUCAUGAUUGAUGAGGAUGAAAAAUGGCGAUGUUAUUCUACGAGCAGAAGAGGCUGGGAAAUCUGUACUUUUGCCGGUUCUCUUUAAGAACGGCUGAAGCCGUUGUAAUAGCUAGCUUUUCUGAGUUGUUGUGAGAAAUUCACGAUUGUUUCACUAUACAUAGAGACAUAUCGAUAAAGCUCUGAAGAAACGUGGCCUUAGCUUCCA